rnacentral:rRNA from 1 species
UACGUAGGGUGCGAGCGUUUGUCCGGAUUUAUUGGGCGUAAAGAGCUCGUAGGCGGUCUGUUGCGUCCGCUGUGAAAACUCGGGGCUUAACCCCGAGCCUGCAGUGGAUACGGGCAGACUAGAGGUAGGUAGGGGAGAAUGGAAUUCCCGGUGUAGCGGUGAAAUGCGCAGAUAUCGGAGGAACACCGGUGCGAAGGCGAGGUCUCUGGGCAUUAACGUGACGCUGAGGAGCGAAAGCAUGGGGAGCGAACGAGGA